UAAAGACCAACGCUUGCGCUGUUUCCGACCUUGGAUUCAUCACUUCGCAGCUCAGUGGACUUAAAAUCUCUAAAGUUGUCUCCUUUCAACCUGCCCGACCCAUCUUCACCAAAUUCUCUCCUGCUCUUCAACCUGUUGCCCCUCAAGUGUUUCUGUUUCUGUUAGCUUGGAUUGAGUCUCUAAUGUGCAUCCAACUCAUCCAUGGAUUCUAACAAGUUUAUAUAGUGGAAAUGUUACUCUAUGGAACCACCAAGCCCAAGUAAGGGCCCAAAAAUGGACAAUUCUCUAAUUUCCAAACUUAUUGAGAUCAGCAAAGUUCAUAGCUAGCAAAAA